rnacentral:rRNA from 1 species
GGUGAACGCUGGCGGCGUGCUUAAGACAUGCAAGUCGAACGGUCAGGAGCUUGCUCCUGACAGUGGCGCACGGGUGAGGAACACGUAACUGACCUGCCCCAAAGUCGCGGAUAACUGGCCGAAAGGUCAGCUAAGACGUGAUGUGCUGUCCCCUCGUGUGGGGCCAGUAAAGGCUGGACCGCUUUGGGAUGGGGUUGCGUUCCAUCAGCUAGUAGGUAGGGUAAAGGCCUACCUAGGCGACGACGGAUAACCGGCCUGAGAGGGUGGCCGGUCACAGGGGCACUGAGACACGGGUCCC